UAGGAAAUGGGUGUUGCAUUCAAAAGGGAAAAAAAAAAAAAAGCUGGUUAAAAAGCCGAGGAAUCGUAGAGUCGCAGAAUGGUUCGGGGUAGAAGGGGCCCUAAAGCUGAUCUUGUGCUGGGACACCUUUCGCUAGCCCAGGUCAGGAUGCUCCAAGCCCCAUCCUCAAACACUUGCAGCACUUGCCAGCUUCUCUGGGCAUCCCGUGCCCAAAUCUCACCACCCUCACAGGGUAAAAUUUCUUGUUAAUACACUUCCAGCCACUUGCCAGCUUCUCUGGGCAGCCUGUGCCCGAGCCUCACCACCCUCACAGGGUAAAAUUUCUGGUUAAUAUCCAAUCUAACCCUGCUCUCUGUCAGGUUGGAGCCAUUCCCCCCUGGCCUGUCACUCCAGGCCUUUGGGAAUAGUCUCUCUCCACCUUUCCUGGGGGCUCCCACCAGGUACUGCAAGGCCACAAUUAAUUCACCCUGAAAUCUCCUUUCCAGGCUCAACAAUCCAAAUUCUCUCAGCCUUUCCUCACAGCAGAGGAGUUCCAGCCCUGUAAUCAACCUGGUGGCCUCCUCUGAACUGACCUUUACCUGCACCUGUGAUUUUUAUUCUUUGACAAUCUUUGUGCUGCUCGAAUUCCCAGAGGGGAGAAGCAGAGACAGACAGGCAGAGAAGAAAAAGAGAAGAGGAGCAGUGGAAAGCACGCUCACUGCGUCAGAAACAACCUGCUUCAGAUCACAGGGGAACAUCAGAGAGGGAAUUUCCUGCAGAACUGGGAUGAUCUGCUGGAUGUGAGGAGCUCCUCAUGAUGUUUGUGCCUGGAGAUGGCAGAGAUGUUUCCUGUCGCUCUCCCCGUGCUGGGCUGUGCUCCUGUGCCACCCCAGAACAGGCCUGCAGGUGGAGAAGGACCAAGGAGGAAGCAGGAGAAGCAGCAGAAACCCGCAGGAACCUGUGGUGCUGUGAUUUCCAUCCAGCACCAAGACCUGUCACACGUGAAAGCCGGGUGGGAAAUGUUCCUCCUGCUUUUUAAUCUGUGCUGUUUGUAACCUCUGUGCGUGUCUGGGGUUUGUUCUUGUGGGCAGAGGUUGUGCCCGGCCAGACAAGCCCGAUUAACACCUUAGCUGGGAGAGCUAAUUAGACCCAGCUCAUAGGAGACAGCAGGCUUGGAAAUGAGGGGGGAUUUGGGGUGUUUGGCACUGACCCUGCAUCACAGAGUGCUCAUUUUCUUUUUCUCACCCACAGCCACGGAAGGAUGCUCCCCCUGCUCAGCCGAGCUGGGCUGUGCUCCCUGCUAACAGAACCUUUGUCUCAGCAGGUGUAAGGAACACAGGAGACAGGUCAGGUCACGGCUGAGUCUGAUGGUCUGAGCGACAGAUCUGUCCUUUUUGAAGAUGAAUUUCAGAAAUUGAGUUCCAGGCAUCCCUUUCUACCCCUUUGAAGAGAGGUGCUAGGCAGGUGAAGAUGCCUGAAAAGGACUUUGGUAGUGGUUUGUGUCGCUCAGCAAUGCUGGCAUAAAUCAGGUUGUUGCUGUAGACAUCAGAUCCUGCUCAGUGUUUGAAGGGCACUAACAGCAGAGUUUAAAGGGAUGUGAUUUGCAUCACCAGAGCAGGAUGUUUUCCCUCUCUUUGGGCAGAUGUGUGUUUGCUGCAGCCCUGCAGUUUUCCCCUGAAGCUGCUCUGAGCUGGCUGCAGCCCCUGGAUGUUUCUCCAUUGCAUGAAUCACUGCAGAGAUUUAAGAUACAGUUGCCCUGCAGCCAGCUGUUAUCAAAUCCCCACACUUCAGCGGGGUUUCAGUUGGCAUGGAGCUGUUUUACCAGUUUAAUCUCCACGGGAGAAACUCUCCUGCUGCUUGUGAAACACUCUGAAAUCCUCUGGCAGCGUUGAAGGGAGAGAGAACA